rnacentral:lncRNA from 1 species
GAUACAUUAAUCUUAAAGGGGAUAAAUUGGGGAACAGUAAGACACAAUAAGGGUGGGGAAGUGAAGGUCUUGUUGAAUGUAGAGGAAGAGAUAGAGCCUAUAAUCCUGACUCCUCCUUUCACCUAUAUUCAUACAACUCCUUCACUAAUGGAUAAUGGGAGCAGACCUGAGUGUCAGAGGAUUAGAGUGGUCUCUAGUGGUAAUUUCCCAAUAUGUAUACUGAGACCUACCCCUAUAGUCAGGAAUAUUACUUUCCAAUUGAUUCGACUAACAGAUUGGCUAGUUUCAUCACACUUUCAGAACUGUUCUAGGGUCACAUCCACUAUUAAUAAGGUUUUAGUCAGAUGGGUGACAAGAAGUAGAACUAGGAAUAGGAGGGUUGUCUUGGGUACGGUUCUG